AUUGAACGCUGGCGGCAUGCUUUACACAUGCAAGUCGAACGGUAACAGGCCUUCUGGUCCUGGCGUGUGCCGCACGGGGGAGUAAUGCACCUAAACGUACCCCGAGGAGGGGGGUAUCGCAGCCGGAGCUGUGCGCUAAUCCCACGUGAGCCGAGGGUGAGAGCGGGGGGGCGCGUCGGACUGUUUGGCCUCGCGUCUGUCUAGCUGCCGAUGUCGGAUUAGCUAGUUGGUGGGGUAAAGGCCUACCAAGGCGACGAUCCGUAACUGGUCUGAGAGGACGAUCAGUCACACUGGAACUGAGACACGGUCCAGACUCCUACGGGAGGCAGCAGUGGGGAAUAUUGGACAAUGGGCGAAAGCCUGAUCCAGCCAUGCCGCGUGUGUGAAGAAGGUCUUCGGGUUGUAAAGCGCUUUUAGCUGGGACGAAGCGCUGUCAGCUAAUACCGGGCUGUUAUGACGGUACCUGCAGAAUAAGCACCGGCUAACUACGUG
rnacentral:rRNA from 1 species